CAGUAGCCGCGGUAAAACGAAGGGUGCAAGCGUUAAUCGGAAUUACUGGGCGUAAAGCGUGCGUAGGCGGUGAGUUAAGUCUGCUGUGAAAUCCCCGGGCUCAACUUGGGAAUGGCAGUGGAUACUGGCUCGCUAGAGUGUGUCAGAGGAUGGUGGAAUUCCCGGUGUAGCGGUGAAAUGCGUAGAGAUCGGGAGGAACAUCAGUGGCGAAGGCGGCCAUCUGGGACAACACUGACGCUGAGGCACGAAAGCGUGGGGAGCAAACAGGAUUAGAUACCCCGGUAGUCCCUGUCUCUUAUAC
rnacentral:rRNA from 1 species